rnacentral:rRNA from 1 species
UGGGGAAUUUUGGACAAUGGGGGCAACCCUGAUCCAGCCAUUCCGCGUGAGUGAAGAAGGCCUUCGGGUUGUAAAGCUCUUUCGGCAGGAACGAAACGGUGGAGGCUAAUACCUUUCAUCAAUGACGGUACCUGAAGAAGAAGCACCGGCUAACUACGUGCCAGCAGCCGCGGUAAUACGUAGGGUGCGAGCGUUAAUCGGAAUUACUGGGCGUAAAGCGUGCGCAGGCGGUUUCGUAAGACAGAUGUGAAGUCCCCGGGCUUAACCUGGGAACUGCGUUUGUGACUGCGAGACUGGAGUGUGGCAGAGGGGGGUGGAAUUCCACGUGUAGCAGUGAAAUGCGUAGAGAUGUGGAGGAACACCGAUGGCGAAGGCAGCCCCCUGGGUCAACACUGACGCUCAUGCACGAAAGCGUGGGGAGCAAACA